AUGUGGACGGUAGUGGAUGAGGCCGCCCCCAUACUCUACCAUAUAACUGGAAUUAACCGAUGCAAGUCCAAGAAGGAUUGGCCGGUGCUACCGGCUGGCGUCAAAUUUGAUCCCACGGAUCAGGAGCUGACCGAGCACCUUGAGGCCAAAGUGAGUGCUGACAGCGCGAGAUCUCACCCUCUCAUCGAUUUGUUCAUACCAACCAUCGACAGCGAGCACGGCAUAUGCUACACCCAUCAUGAGAAACUUCCAGGUAUCACACUGAGUGGCCUAAGCAAGCAUUUCUUCCAGCGCAAUUCCAGGUCAUUCAAAAGGGGCACGUGGGCGCGUCGCAAGAUACAGUCGGAGUGCGGCAUGCAUGCGAUGUGGCACAAGACCGACAAUACCUUGCCGGUGAUGGUCAACAGCCGGCGGACGGGCAACAAAAAAGUUCUGGUGCUGCACACCAACAAGAACUUUGACCAGCAGAGGACCAACUGA
rnacentral:rRNA from 1 species